rnacentral:rRNA from 1 species
GACGAACCGUACAAACGUUAUUCGGAAUUACUGGGCUUAAAGGGUGCGUAGGCGGCGCUGAAAGUUGGGUGUGAAAUGCCUCGGCUCAACCGAGGAAUGGCGCCCAAAACUACAGUGCUCGAGGGAGACAGAGGUGAGCGGAACUUAGGGUGGAGCGGUGAAAUGCGUUGAGAUCCUAAGGAACACCGGUGGCGAAAGCGGCUCACUGGGUCUCUUCUGACGCUGAGGCACGAAAGCUAGGGUAGCGAACGGG